rnacentral:rRNA from 2 species
UUGGAAGAAGUUUGAUCCUGGCUCAGGAUGAACGCCGGCGGUGUGCCUAAUACAUGCAAGUCGAGCGCACUGGCCCAACUGAUAUGACGUGCUUGCACUGAAUUGACGUUGGAUUACCAGUGAGCGGCGGACGGGUGAGUAACACGUGGGCAACCUGCCCUGAAGCGGGGGAUAACAUCUGGAAACAGGUGCUAAUACCGCAUAACAACGAAAACCACAUGGUUUUCGUUUCAAAGAUGGUUUCGGCUAUCACUUCAGGAUGGGCCCGCGGUGCAUUAGCUAGUUGGUAAGGUAACGGCUUACCAAGGCAAUGAUGCAUAGCCGAGUUGAGAGACUGAUCGGCCACAAUGGAACUGAGACACGGUCCAUACUCCUACGGGAGGCAGCAGUAGGGAAUCUUCCACAAUGGGCGCAAGCCUGAUGGAGCAACACCGCGUGAGUGAAGAAGGGUUUCGGCUCGUAAAGCUCUGUUGUUGGAGAAGAACGUGCGUGAGAGUAACUGUUCACGCAGUGACGGUAUCCAACAAAA